AUUGAACGCUGGCGGCAUGCCUUACACAUGCAAGUCGAACGGUAGCGGGCCUUCGGGUGCCGACGAGUGGCGAACGGGUGAGUAAUGUAUCGGAACGUACCUUUCAGUGGGGGAUAACGUAGCGAAAGUUGCGCUAAUACCGCAUAUUCUGUGAGCAGGAAAGCCGGGGAUCGCAAGACCUUGCGCUGAUUGAGCGGCCGAUAUCAGAUUAGCUAGUUGGUGAGGUAAAGGCUCACCAAGGCGACGAUCUGUAGCGGGUCUGAGAGGAUGAUCCGCCACACUGGAACUGGGACACGGUCCAGACUCCUACGGGAGGCAGCAGUGGGGAAUUUUGGACAAUGGGGGCAACCCUGAUCCAGCCAUGCCGCGUGGGUGAAGAAGGCCUGCGGGUUGUAAAGCUCUUUCGGCCGGGAAGAAAUCGUAUCAGCUAAUACCUGGUGCGGAUGACGGUACCGGCAUAAGAAGCACCGGCUAACUACGUGCCAGCCGCCGCAGUAAUAC
rnacentral:rRNA from 1 species